AGAAGGUGAAACUCCCGUCCGCCUGGUAGAAUGAGUCUUUGUCAACGAGUCGAAGUUGUUUGGGAUUGCAGCUACUAAUUUGGUAGUAAAUUCCAUCUAAAGCUAAAUAUUGGUGGGAGACCGAUAGCGUACAAGUACCGUGAGGGAGAGAUGCAAAGAACUUUGAAAAGAGAGUUAAAGAGUACCUGAAAUUGACUGAAACGGAAGCGAAGGAAACCAGUGUUUGUUGGUUCAUAUUUCCCUGGCCACUUGUGGUUUGGGCGCUGUGAGCUUGCGUGGGUUUGGGUUGGUUGAUCCCUUUGGAACGAGCGCAGUCAGAGUUGAUGUCU
rnacentral:rRNA from 1 species